CAGUCGCCGCGGUAAUACGUAGGUGGCAAGCGUUGUCCGGAAUUAUUGGGCGUAAAGGGCUCGCAGGCGGUUUCUUAAGUCUGAUGUGGAAGCCCCCGGCUCAACCGGGGAGGGUCAUUGGAAACUGGGAAACUUGAGUGCAGAAGAGGAGAGUGGAAUUCCACGUGUAGCGGUGAAAUGCGUAGAGAUGUGGAGGAACACCAGUGGCGAAGGCGACUCUCUGGUCUGUAACUGACGCUGAGGAGCGAAAGCGUGGGGAGCGAACAGGAUUAGAUACCCGCGUAGUCCCUGUCUCUUAUAC
rnacentral:rRNA from 1 species